UUGAAGAGGAUUCCUAAUAACAAUAUGCCUGAACUCCAAGGACCUUGUCUUCCCAAAUAUGUUUGAUGGGGAAAAUGUGAAAGAGAACACUCAUGUUCAAGAAAGGCAGAUAGAGUGUAUUCAAGUCAUGAAAACAAGACUGUUGUGAGGUUAUGAUGGCUUCCUACCUAAUCAUGAAUACUUCCAAGAGCGUGGAGGACCACACAGGUUUGGCUGUGACACUCUCACCCUGGGAGCAGAGAGGGAGAAGUAGCCCCUGACAUCAAAAGAGACAUCCCACCUGACACUGGCCAAGUACCGCGAAGGCCCUGUGGGUCCUGGGCCUCUGCUGCAUUCUGCCGACUCUCUGCAGAUAAGGUGAUACCCAACGCACUAGAAGGCCUAACUCCAUUGAAUUUGCUGUAACUGCUGACUAGAUAGGAAACAUU